AACGAACGCUGGCGGCAUGCCUAACACAUGCAAGUCGAACGAGACCUUCGGGUCUAGUGGCGCACGGGUGCGUAACGCGUGGGAACCUGCCCUUAGGUUCGGAAUAACUCCCCGAAAGGGGUGCUAAUACCGGAUAAUGUCUUCGGACCAAAGAUUUAUCGCCUUUGGAUGGGCCCGCGUUGGAUUAGCUAGUUGGUAGGGUAAAAGCCUACCAAGGCGACGAUCCAUAGCUGGUCUGAGAGGAUGAUCAGCCACACUGGGACUGAGACACGGCCCAGACUCCUACGGGAGGCAGCAGUGGGGAAUAUUAGACGAUGGGCGAAAGCCUGAUACAGCCAUGCCGCGUGAGUGAUGAAGGCCUUAGGGUUGUAGAGCUCUUUUAGCCGGGAUGAUAAUGACAGUACCGGGAGAAUAAGCUCCGGCUAACUACGUG
rnacentral:rRNA from 1 species